UACCGGGAUUCUUGGUUAAUAUAUUUUUCUUUCCACGUUUCGUUUAUACGUAGAUAACCUCAAAUUACCAUCUAUCAUGUUGGAUGCACUGCAUCUGAGAGAAAUUUCUCGGACUAGUUCCACGGCGUCAUCUUGAUUCUUCUCCUCUGUCACAAACAAAUUUGUUCCUGAACUGAGCUGAACCUUCGUUCCGCUCCGAAAUUCUCGUCUUUUAUUUGUCGUUAGCCCAAUUAUGAGGGCUAAGUGGCGUAAGAAGCGUAUGCGUAGGUUGAAGCGCAAGAGGAGGAAGAUGCGUGCAAGGUCCAAGUAAACCUCGUGGCCCGCACCGGACAUCUCACCAUGUUUUGGUAAACAAUAACCGAUAUUGAUACUUUUAUAUUGAAUCAUCUAAACAGUAAUAAACUCCAUCUGUUCAACAUAUAAA